GACGAACGCUGGCGGCGUGCCUAAUACAUGCAAGUAGAACGCUGAAGGAGGAGCUUGCUCUUCUGGAUGAGUUGCGAACGGGUGAGUAACGCGUAGGUAACCUGCCUGGUAGCGGGGGAUAACUAUUGGAAACGAUAGCUAAUACCGCAUAAGAGUAGAUGUUGCAUGACAUUUGCUUAAAAGGUGCAAUUGCAUCACUACCAGAUGGACCUGCGUUGUAUUAGCUAGUUGGUGGGGUAACGGCUCACCAAGGCGACGAUACAUAGCCGACCUGAGAGGGUGAUCGGCCACACUGGGACUGAGACACGGCCCAGACUCCUACGGGAGGCAGCAGUAGGGAAUCUUCGGCAAUGGACGGAAGUCUGACCGAGCAACGCCGCGUGAGUGAGGAAGGUUAUCGGAUCGUAAAGCUCUGUUGUAAGAGAAGAACGAGUGUGAGAGUGGAAAGUUCACACUG
rnacentral:rRNA from 1 species